CGGUAACUGAGACACGGUCCAAACUCCUACGGGAGGCAGCAGUGAGGAAUAUUGGUCAAUGGGCGGAAGCCUGAACCAGCCAAGUAGCGUGAAGGAUGAAGGUUCUAUGGAUUGUAAACUUCUUUUAUGCGGAAAUAACGGGCACUACGUGUAGUGUUAUGCAUGUACCUUAUGAAUAAGCAUCGGCUAACUCCGUGCCAGCAGCCGCGGUAAUACGGAGGAUGCGAGCGUUAUCCGGAUUUAUUGGGUUUAAAGGGAGCGUAGGCGGGAGAUUAAGUCAGCUGUGAAAGUUCGGGGCUCAACCUUGGAAUUGCAGUUGAAACUGGUUUUCUUGAGUGCGGCAGAGGCAGGCGGAAUUCGUGGUGUAGCGGUGAAAUGCUUAGAUAUCACGAAGAACCCCCGAUUGCGAAGGCAGCUUGCUGGAGCGUAACUGACGCUGAUGCUCGAAAGUGUGGGUAUCAAACAGGAUUAGAUACCCUGGUAGUCCACACGGUAAACGAUGGAUACUCGCUGUUGGCGAUAUACGGUCAG
rnacentral:rRNA from 1 species